rnacentral:rRNA from 1 species
GACGAACGCUGGCGGCGUGCUUAACACAUGCAAGUCGAACGGAAAGGCCCUGCUUUUGUGGGGUGCUCGAGUGGCGAACGGGUGAGUAACACGUGAGUAACCUGCCCUUGACUUUGGGAUAACUUCAGGAAACUGGGGCUAAUACCGGAUAGGAGCUCCUGCUGCAUGGUGGGGGUUGGAAAGUUUCGGCGGUUGGGGAUGGACUCGCGGCUUAUCAGCUUGUUGGUGGGGUAGUGGCUUACCAAGGCUUUGACGGGUAGCCGGCCUGAGAGGGUGACCGGCCACAUUGGGACUGAGAUACGGCCCAGACUCCUACGGGAGGCAGCAGUGGGGAAUAUUGCACAAUGGGCGGAAGCCUGAUGCAGCAACGCCGCGUGCGGGAUGACGGCCUUCGGGUUGUAAACCGCUUUCGCCUGUGACGAAGCGUGAGUGACGGUAAUGGGUAAAGAAGCACCGGCUAACUACGUGCCAGCAGCCGCGGUGAUACGUAGGGUGCGAGCGUUGUCCGGAUUUAUUGGGCGUAAAGGGCUCGUAGGUGGUUGAUCGCGUCGGAAGUGUAAUCUUGGGGCUUAACCCUGAGCGUGCUUUCGAUACGGGUUGACUUGAGGAAGGUAGGGGAGAAUGGAAUUCCUGGUGGAGCGGUGGAAUGCGCAGAUAUCAGGAGGAACACCAGUGGCGAAGGCGGUUCUCUGGGCCUUUCCUGACGCUGAGGAGCGAAAGCGUGGGGAGCGAACAGGCUUAGAUACCCUGGUAGUCCACGCUGUAAACGGUGGGUACUAGGUGUGGGGUCCAUUCCACGGGUUCCGUGCCGUAGCUAACGCUUUAAGUACCCCGCCUGGGGAGUACGGCCGCAAGGCUAAAACUCAAAGGAAUUGACGGGGCCCCGCACAAGCGGCGGAGCAUGCGGAUUAAUUCGAUGCAACGCGUAGAACCUUACCUGGGUUUGACAUGGAUCGGGAGUGCUCAGAGAUGGGUGUGCCUCUUUUGGGGUCGGUUCACAGGUGGUGCAUGCCUGUCGUCAGCUCGUGUCGUGAGAUGUUGGGUUAAGUCCCGCAACGAGCGCAACCCUUGUUCACUGUUGCCAGCACGUUAUGGUGGGGACUCAGUGGAGACCGCCGGGGUCAACUCGGAGGAAGGUGGGGAUGACGUCAAGUCAUCAUGCCCCUUAUGUCCAGGGCUUCACGCAUGCUACAAUGGCUGGUACAGAGAGUGGCGAGCCUGUGAGGGUGAGCGAAUCUCGGAAAGCCGGUCUCAGUUCGGAUUGGGGUCUGCAACUCGACCUCAUGAAGUCGGAGUCGCUAGUAAUCGCAGAUCAGCAACGCUGCGGUGAAUAAAUUCCCGGG